rnacentral:rRNA from 1 species
UACGGAGGGUGCAAGCGUUGUCCGGAAUCACUGGGCGUAAAGGGCGCGUAGGCGGCUCGGUAAGUAGGGGGUGAAAUCCUGCGGCUUAACCGCAGGGCUGCCUUCUAAACUGUCGAGCUUGAGCACGGUAGAGGCAGAUGGAAUUCCCGGUGUAGCGGUGGAAUGCGUAGAGAUCGGGAAGAACAUCAGUGGCGAAGGCGGUCUGCUGGGCCGUUGCUGACGCUGAGGCGCGACAGCGUGGGGAGCGAACAGG